UACGUAGGCAGCAAGCGUUGUUCGGAAUUACUGGGCGUAAAGAGCGUGUAGGCGGCUAUACAGGUCCGCUGUGAAAACUCGAGGCUCAACCUCGAGACGUCGGUGGAAACCGUAUGGCUAGAGUCCGGAAGAGGAGAGUGGAAUUCCUGGUGUAGCGGUGAAAUGCGUAGAUAUCAGGAGGAACACCGGUGGUGUAGACGGCUCACUGGACCGUAACUGACGCUGAGACACGAAAGCGUGGGUAGCAAACAGG
rnacentral:rRNA from 1 species